CCUACGGGGGGCUGCAGUGGGGAAUAUUGGACAAUGGGGGGAACCCUGAUCCAGCCAUGCCGCGUGUGUGAAGAAGGCCCUCGGGUUGUAAAGCACUUUCAGUGAGGAAGAACGCCUGGUGGUUAAUACCCAUCAGGAAAGACAUCACUCACAGAAGAAGCACCGGCUAACUCCGUGCCAGCAGCCGCGGUAAUACGGAGGGUGCGAGCGUUAAUCGGAAUUACUGGGCGUAAAGCGCGCGUAGGUGGCUUGAUAAGCCGGUUGUGAAAGCCCCGGGCUCAACCUGGGAACGGCAUCCGGAACUGUCAAGCUAGAGUGCAGGAGAGGAAGGUAGAAUUCCCGGUGUAGCGGUGAAAUGCGUAGAGAUCGGGAGGAAUACCAGUGGCGAAGGCGGCCUUCUGGACUGACACUGACACUGAGGUGCGAAAGCGUGGGUAGCAAACAGGAUUAGAUACCCGAGUAGUC
rnacentral:rRNA from 1 species